UGGGUUAGUCCGCAACGAGCGCACCCCUAUUGAUAGUUACCAUUAUUAAGUUGGGUACUCUAUUGAGACUGCCGCUGACAAGGCGGAGGAAGGUGGGGACGACGUCAAGUCAUCAUGGCCCUUACGACCAGGGCUACACACGUGCUACAAUGGAUAUUACAGAGGGCUGCGAUACCGCGAGGUGGAGCGAAGCUCAGAAAGGUAUUCUUAGUCCGGAUUGCAGUCUGCAACUCGACUGCAUGAAGCAGGAAUCGCUAGUAAUCGCGAAUCAGAAUGUCGCGGUGAAUACGUUCCCGGGUCUUGUACACACCGCCCGUCACACCAUGGGAGUGGGUUGCUCCAGAAGUAGAUAGCUUAACCUUAGGGAGGGCGUUUACCACGGAGUGAUUCAUGACUGGGGUGAAGUCGUAACAAGGUAGCCGUAGGGGAACCUGCGGCUGGAUCACCUCCUU
rnacentral:rRNA from 1 species